AGGUUGACUGCAGGUGGCAUGGACAUGUAUAAUUACUGUGUUUAGAGUCCUCUAAGACACUGGGGCUUGAGGGCUUUUGCUUAUUCUCUUUCAUCCACUGUUGUGCUGCCUCACUGGUAGGGAGAAAGAGAAGAGAGACAUUUGAAAUACUCUUCACUUCAUCCUAAAGACAGUGGGCUUUUCAGUACCAGGAAGACGUAUGAAAGCAGGGAGAGAAAAUCUUUUUCUGUCUGGUGUUUUUCAAAAUUUUGAUGAUGGACUCACAUCAAGGAUGAAGAGCUUUGAUGUCAUUUGAACACCACCACCAUCACCACCACCAGCAUCAACAAACAAACAAGCAAACAAGCGUGAACUCAGGAGCCCUGUGGCCCAGCCUCCAGGAAACUGCGUGUGCAUCACCUCAUAUUUCUGGCCACAGGUCAUUCAGACAUCUGCCCUUUGCCCUGGAGGAGAACCACUAGGGACUUGUGCCCAUAAGCACCAAUUCUGGCUUUUACCCUACCCAUCCUUUGCCAUCCCAAACUAUGCCAUCAACAAAUUCUAGAAAUCAAGUUAGAAAUGCUGUUCCCACGAGGGUCUCUGUGGUCUCUCAGAACAACAAUCAGCUGGCCCUGCUGGGCAGAUGUUGCCCAAUCCUAACCCACACUUAGCUAUCAACUUAAUCAUUCUCAACUAAAAACACCUACCUGAACACUUUUAGGGGUUAAGAAUAGUAUAAUCUCA
rnacentral:lncRNA from 1 species